GGGUCAGUAGGUUGGUCGUGCCACCGGUACGUACUGGUCUCACUGCUUCCUCCUUCCUGAAGAACCGUAAUGCCAUUAAUAUGGUGUUGCGGGGAAACAGGACUGUUACUUUGAAAAAAUUAGAGUGUUUAAAGCAAGCUAACGCUUGAAUACAUUAGCAUGGAAUAAUGAAAUAGGACGAUCGAUCCUAUUUUGUUGGUUUCUAGGAUUGACGUA
rnacentral:rRNA from 1 species